UCGAGAAUUUUUCACAAUGGGCGAAAGCCUGAUGGAGCGACGCCGCGUGGGGGAUGAAUGGCUUCGGCCCGUAAACCCCUGUCAUUCGCGAGCAAACGUUAUUAUUUAAAAGAUGAUAGCCUGAUAGUAGCGAAAGAGGAAGGGACGGCUAACUCUGUGCCAGCAGCCGCGGUAAUACAGAGGUCCCAAGCGUUGUUCGGAUUUACUGGGCGUAAAGGGUGCGUAGGUGGUGGGGUAAGUCGGAUGUGAAAUCUCCGAGCUCAACUCGGGAAGUGCACUGGAAACUACCCUGCUCGAGGGUUGGAGGGGGGACUGAAAUACUUGGUGUAGCAGUGAAAUGCGUAGAUAUCAAGUGGAACACCAGUGGCGAAGGCGAGUCCCUGGACAACUCCUGACACUGAGGCACGAAAGCUAGGGGAGCAAACAG
rnacentral:rRNA from 1 species